GUACCUUGAAAGUAGUACAUUGAAUGGAGCUGUGCAGUCUUAAACGGGUUUGAAUAGAAGAAAACAAGCAGGUGAGCCCAGCUUCAAGGGCUGACAUUCAUUAAGGAUAUGGAUACUGCUGACCUCCUACCUUUCACAUACCUUCGGACCAAAGGAUCACACGGGCUGCUGGAUUAGGGCUGCCAUGGGCUUGUUUGGACGUGCACUGUUGGAGAGCACGCAGCAGAGGUAACAGAAUUCAGUUAUGUUUUUUAAUUCUGUAAAUUAAGCUUAAAAUGAAAAGAAAAUGACCAGUCAGUAGGCUAGGAUCAAAAUGUAGGUCCAGGCUCUGUACACAAAGGGAAAGUGUGAGACUUGGAAAAUAAACUUUUAUUUUGCAAUCUCUUGUCCCCACCAACUUUUAAUAUGUAACUGUUUCGAUCUGCUUCCAGAUCAGUGUCCCUUUGUAAACACAUGUGAAAUUUGAGUACAAAGAGACGAACAGCAAUGCAUCACUUAGCUGCAUCAAUAUUUUAUGCAGUUGAUCAUGUAAGAAUCAGAAGCAGAUUUAGCCUUCUCUGUGGACUGUAGGGACUAAGGUUCUGUUGACCACAUUUCCACUUCACAAACAGAGCUAUCCAACCAAGACUUGUUUACAAACUGGAAAUGUGCUCAAACACACUGUCCCUGAUAUUUUGUUUGCUCUUCUAGGCUGACAAAUUGCUAACUUUAGAGUUAUUUCUACAAUACUAGAUACAUAUAUAAUUAGGAAAAUAGAAGAAACAAAGUCGUGAUAGGGAAACAUCUCUGAUGAUAUCUGAUCAUUAGAAAUUGCUAUUUGGGGGGAUAAAACACAAGAAAUGUAGUAAUUUCUAUAAUAUUUUCCAAUAUUUACUAAUUUUAAAGUAAGACAUAGGUUUCAUGUUUAUAUGCACUUCACUUUAUUUAUUUCACUAUAAUAAGGGACUUAGAAAUCAAGAUCCAAAUGUCAGUAGCCAGAAUUAUUGAAAAUGGUCUAAGCCAAAAGAGAGGCGAAGCUAGGAUUUGCAAAUUUCUUUUAUUUAUUUCUCCCCAUUCUAUACUUAUAACAACCACUAAAGAGAGUCAUGGGUUAUAUUCUCCUCACUUUAUAAAUAAGGAGCAAAAGCUUUAGAACAAUUGUAUGCAUAGCAAAAACAACACUGCACUACAAGUUCUACCAACUGAACCUCUAUUUAAUUAUAAUGUCUUUGGUAAUCCAGUUAAUUCCUGUAUGCUUCUGUUUUCUCAUCUGUAAACUCUGGAGCAGGAAUUUAUUUUGAAAUCUAUGAGGUGCUGAAAUUUUUAAAAAGUGAUAGUUUCUUGACAGACCCAGGAUCACAUUAUAGUCACUGGUAGAAUGGGAGUAGUACCCAGCCCUCCAGAGUUUGACCAUUAUCCAGAUGAUGAAACAUUUCUGAAAUUAAAAGCUGAGCUGCAAAAAAUAUAUAGUUCUUUGCUUUGAUCUUUCAUUCCAAGUCAUUGGAAACAUGCAAAACUCACAAUCUAACUUGAAGACAAAUAAUUCUAUGAAAAGAGACAAAUUUUGUUCAUUUAGCAAAAAUCACUAAAAGAACUAAUUUAAUAAUUCUUGGAUAAAGUUAAUGUGUACAGGAAGUGGUACCAUAAUAAUUUUUUUAUAAGUAUUGCCCUGAUUAAAACUCACUCAAUAUAUGGACCCAACUAAUAAACAUUUCUAGAGAAAAUCAUAGAACUGAGAUAUACUGAGUUGAAUAGUGUCUCCCCAAAAUUCAUGCCUACCUAGAACCAGUGAAUGUGGCCUUCUUUGGAAAGAGAGUCUCUGUACAGGUAAUCAAGUUAACAUUUACUGAUGAAGUCUUAUU